GAUGAACGCUAGCGGCAGGCUUAAUACAUGCAAGUCGUGGGGCAGCAUGAAGUAGCAAUACUUUGAUGGCGACCGGCAAACGGGUGCGGAACACGUACACAACCUUCCUACAAGUGGGGAAUAGCCCAGAGAAAUUUGGAUUAAUACCCCGUAACAUAGCGAUGUGGCAUCACAUUGCUAUUAUAGCUUCGGCGCUUGUUGAUGGGUGUGCGUAUGAUUAGAUAGUUGGCGAGGUAACGGCUCACCAAGUCUACGAUCAUUAGCUGAUGUGAGAGCAGGAUCAGCCACACGGGCACUGAGACACGGGCCCGACGCCUACGGGAGGCAGCAGUAAGGAAUAUUGGUCAAUGGACGAAAGUCUGAACCAGCCAUGCCGCGUGAAGGAUUAAGGUCCUCUGGAUUGUAAACUUCUUUUAUAUGGGGCGAAAAAAGGUCUUUCUAGAUCACUUGACGGUACCAUAUGAAUAAGCACCGGCUAACUCCGUGCCAGCAGCCGCCGUAACAC
rnacentral:rRNA from 1 species